ACAACUGUAGCUCAUUGGUAGAACAUCUGCUUUGCAUUCAGAAGGUGCCUGUUUCGACUUGUGGCUUUUCCAGGUAGGGGUGUG